UUUAAUUCGAUGCAACGCGAAGAACCUUACCUGGUCUUGACAUCCACAGAACUUUCCAGAGAUGGAUUGGUGCCUUCGGGAACUGUGAGACCAGGUGCUGCAUGGCUGUCGUCAGCUCGUGUUGUGAAAUGUUGGGUUAAGUCCCGCAACGAGCGCAACCCUUAUCCUUUGUUGCCAGCGGUCCGGCCGGGAACUCAAGGGAGACUGCCAGUGAUAAACUGGAGGAAGGUGGGGAUGACGUCAAGUCAUCAUGGCCCUUACGACCAGGGCUACACACGUGCUACAAUGGCGCAUACAAAGAGAAGCGACCUCGCGAGAGCAAGCGGACCUCAUAAAGUGCGUCGUAGUCCGGAUUGGAGUCUGCAACUCGACUCCAUGAAGUCGGAAUCGCUAGUAAUCGUGGAUCAGAAUGCCACGGUGAAUACGUUCCCGGGCCUUGUACACACCGCCCGUCACACCAUGGGAGUGGGUUGCAAAAGAAGUAGGUAGCUUAACCUUCGGGAGGGCGCUUACCACUUUGUGAUUCAUGAGCUGGGGUGAAGUCGUAAACAAGGUAACCCCACCGGAAGAUGAGG
rnacentral:rRNA from 1 species